GCUGUACAUGAUGACAAUCUGGCUCCCUCUACUGAAUGCUGUGAGGAUAAAAGCCUACAUGUUACCCAGUUCCUUCUGAGUUGCAGC